rnacentral:rRNA from 1 species
CAUGGCUGUCGUCAGCUCGUGUCGUGAGGAUGUUCGGGUUAAGUCCCGUAACGAGCGCAACCCUUGUCCUUAGUUACCAGCACGUUAUGGUGGGCACUCUAAGGAGACUGCCGGUGACAAACCGGAGGAAGUGGGGAUGACGUCAAGUCAUCAUGGCCCUUACGGCCUGGGCUACACACGUGCUACAAUGGUCGGUACAAAGGGUUGCCAAGCCGCGAGGUGGAGCUAAUCCCAUAAAACCGAUCGUAGUCCGGAUCGCAGUCUGCAACUCGACUGCGUGAAGUCGGAAUCGCUAGUAAUCGUGAAUCAGAAUGUCACGGUGAAUACGUUCCCGGGCCUU